ensembl:vault_RNA Vault Vault RNA
GUGCUGGUUUAGCUCAGUGGUUACUUCGAACAAAUUCUACCUGUAUAGAUACUGCUCUCUAUCCCUCCCCGGGAUUGAACCACGGGCGCUGUCCAGUGCUUUU